rnacentral:rRNA from 1 species
UACGGAGGGUGCGAGCGUUGUCCGGAAUCACUGGGCGUAAAGGGCGCGUAGGCGGCUUGUACAGUCAGACGUGAAAUUCCUGGGCUCAACCUGGGGCUGCGUUUGAUACGUAUGGGCUUGAGUUCGGAAGAGGGUCGUGGAAUUCCCAGUGUAGAGGUGAAAUUCGUAGAUAUUGGGAAGAACACCGGUGGCGAAGGCGGCGACCUGGUCCGAUACUGACGCUGAGGCGCGAAAGCGUGGGGAGCAAACAGG